GUUAGUCCCGCAGGAGGAUGGUCAUCCAAGGUAAGUGCGGACAAAGUCCGCCGCCAUCCUCCUCCUACCAAAAGGUAGGUUUUGCGGGACAGGAGGU
rnacentral:ncRNA from 1 species